GCUGUAAUCAGUAGUGUGAUUGUUGAGCUCUGUUUGAGAUAACAGCAAUUGAUUGAGUGUCUCGGCCUAGAGUGUGACUAGAUAUUGUGAAAAACUAGGGAGAAGAAAAUAGAAACAAAAUGGAAAGCUUGCAUCGUUAUAGACUGCAUCUUGUGAUGAUUCUUCUUGAUUCCCUCGUGCUUGCAGACUGGAGAUACAGCUUGAGAAAUGCUGGGUACUAGUGGCCGGUUACUGUCUGUCUGUCUGUCUGUCUGUAUGUCUGUCUAUCUAUGUAUCUUUCCAUCCAUCUAUCAGAUAUCUAUCAUCUACCUACCAUCUAUCUAUUUAUUAGACAAGGUCUUAUAAAUAACUUUGGCUGGCCUCAAAUGUGUAUUCUUCCUGUCUCAUUCUUUCAAAUUCUGGAAUUAUGGGCACACAUCACCUCUGACAUAAAAUUUUAAAUAAAGUACUUUCUAUAAAUUAGAAUUAACCAAAACUAUGAGAACAUUAUUUUUUCAUACAUGAGCAGAUAAUAAAUAUAUAAUUGAACCUGGUCAUAUAACUUUCAUUGUAGCAAAAAGGAGAAUAGUUUAAUGCACUGAAAAUGGAGGUAACGUUUAUAGCCUCACUAGGAAGAAGUUUCUAUUGCAGUUCUGUUUACAUUUUCAUACCAGUGUGAUCUGUGAUAAUUUUCAUAAGCAAUAGCAUUUUUCAUUCAUUUAUCUUCCUCUGCAUUCAGAAUCUGGAUAUUUUCAACUGUAGAAACUUGAGUCCUUACUAGUUCAUCGGCAUAGUAUGAAUAAUCAGAGUGAAGAUUCUAAGAUACUUCUGAAGCAUUUAAAAUAUCCACUUAAAUUUUGCAAAAAAAAAAAAAAUUCUAAAUUACAUUUCUCUUGCAUUGAAGAUAACAUGGACUCUGCGGAGAAUUGCACAAAAAGAUGAUGCAGUUUCAAGGGAAGUCCCUAAGACAAUAUUCUUUUCAUUAUAAAUGCAUGGAGAGAGUAAAGAAAAUUAGGUAGUCCUUUAUCCAAAUGCAGCCCAUGCUUGUCGUUGAAUGUUAUUAUGCCAAGUAAUUCAUCCAGAUAAAAGGCUCUUAAUGUUAUCCUACAGUAAGUGAUAUUCUUAUUUGAUUAUACCUGUGCAUAUAUGGACAUAUGCCCAUAAUAGGAAAUCAAAGACCGGGCCAUAUGCAGAAUAGUCAAGCCCUCUACUGUUGUGAGAAAUAUUAAAAAAAAAAAAAAAAAGAACCCGCCAACUCUCAGCAGGAUCAGGCCAUACUCCUGCACUCCUGCUGCAGCCAACAACUCUCCUGAUCUAGCCCCUGUGCCAGGAGAUCUCACUCACUUGGUCUCUCAGCACACUAACUCCCCAGCCCUGAGAGGCCACGUGGCUCCCACCAGGCCAUCUCUCUGACAGGCCCCGAGUUCCUCUUGCUUUCACCCAACGCCCUACGCACCCCUGGUGAGCCGUCUCACCACUUAAUUACCAGGUAGAGUCGAGACUCUUAAUGCUUAAUUAGCCAAUCAGAUUUAUGUAUCAAUAAUAACACAAUUUACAUGAUGCCAAUACAAUAAUUUCAGAUCCAAAUGAUAAUGAUAAAGCUUUAACCCAAUUACUAUAACCUUUUGAUAAUACCAGGUCCGACUCCAUUCUGUUUCUCUCCUCCUCAGACUUCUCUCCCUGUCUCAACUCCUCACUCCGCCUCUCUUCUCCUGUCCAAUCACAAGCCUCCCACUGCCCUAAUGUGAUUGGACAGGAAAAAUCCUGCGCCACUCUACUGCUUAGCUAACCUAUGUAUUAUCAGCAGCCCUGUAUUUAUUUUCAGUGAGAAUAGGGAAGAUUUCACAGGCAUCAUUCUCAGUUUAACUUUUAAGAAAAGGAAAGAAACAUCUGAAAAAUGAAUUCGUUAUAGCUUACAUAGUACUAUCAGACCUUAUUCUAAAAUGCUUAACAGUGUUUCAUCUCAGGUUUUAUAAUUAUAUCAUGGUUCCCAGCAGAAGUGAAAAUUCAUGAACUAUAAUUCUGUAUAUUGCAUUAAAGUUAGCUGAUAGCAUGCCUGGCACCCGUUGGUAAAGUCAUUGCCAUUGACAUCAACAGAGAAGUUCAGUGAUGUUGUCUUACUUUGGUCAGUACAACUGUAUCAAUUUUUAUGAGGCUACAAGUAACAUUGUGUAACUUUAUAAAGUACAUGCUCAUAAUAGGGAAAUUAGAAAGCAGACACUAAAAAGGC
rnacentral:lncRNA from 1 species